rnacentral:rRNA from 1 species
GAUGAACGCUGGCGGCGUGCCUAAUACAUGCAAGUCGAGCGAACAGACGAGGAGCUUGCUCCUCUGACGUUAGCGGCGGACGGGUGAGUAACACGUGGAUAACCUACCUAUAAGACUGGGAUAACUUCGGGAAACCGGAGCUAAUACCGGAUAAUAUAUUGAACCGCAUGGUUCAAUAGUGAAAGACGGUUUUGCUGUCACUUAUAGAUGGAUCCGCGACGCAUUAGCUAGUUGGUAAGGUAACGGCUUACCAAGGCGACGAUGCGUAGCCGACCUGAGAGGGUGAUCGGCCACACUGGAACUGAGACACGGUCCAGACUCCUACGGGAGGCAGCAGUAGGGAAUCUUCCGCAAUGGGCGAAAGCCUGACGGAGCAACGCCACGUGAGUGAUGAAGGUCUUCGGAUCGUAAAACUCUGUUAUUAGGGAAGAACAAAUGUGUAAGUAACUAUGCACGUCUUGACGGUACCUAAUCAGAAAGCCACGGCUAACUACGUG